UUUUUUUUUUUAUUUUUUAUAAGGAACAGUGAUACUCAAGAUCUAUAGGGUUUUAAUAAGAGGUUUCGGGGUUUUGUUUUUGUAAAUAAUCUAUUUUAUUCUUGGGGGAAGGAAUCAAACCUUAGGGAAAGGAUAUAUAUAUCUAUAUAUUUGCGUUCAUUCAGGGAAACUGGACUUGAAAAAGCAAAAAAAAAAAAAAAAAAAAAAAAAAAAAAAAAAAAAAAAAAAAGCCGAAAAAGAAAAGUAAGACCCUUUCUAUAUUUCCCAUGACUGAUUUGGGUUCCUUUGUGUGUUUCCUGUGGUGUGGUGGGCGGCUGGCAGGCGCAGGCCGCGCCGGGCCAGAGCCAGGACAGGUGAUGAACUCAGGUGCUAUGGGCGGGGCCAGGGGCCAGGAUGGGGGUGCAGGCGGGGGCACCUGGGGGUCUCCCUCGCUGUGCUCGUGCGCUGCCCCCCCCAGACUGGAAGUCUUAACGGGAGAGGAGGGGGCUCCACCCCUCGGCCCCAGGCUCCUGUCUCAGGGAUGAAUGUGGCCUGGGGACGCUCGAGGUUACCCGUGCAGGGGACGCGGGGGACGGGUGAGCCGGGCUUAGCUCAGGGCCAGGUUUUGGGGCCGCGGCAUCCCGAACACCCCCCCGCCCCAUCGUCUUCUCCUUAACUGUCUCUUCGUUCUCUCUCGGCCCCGCUUGCUUGGGGCCACAGCUCCCCGCGGUGACCAACUGGACACGGCGCCCGCCCCGCUCGACCCCGCGGUCCUGGUUAGAGGUGGGUGUGAGGGGGACACCGUGGGGCACCCGGGGGGCUCCUGGCGAGCCCGAGGCCCAGGGGCAGGUGCAUGCUGCUGCGCUGCCCUCGCGGGUCCCUGCUCCUUGCCGUGCGGGGUUCCCGUGGGGGCUCCGCUGUCCCCGGGGCCAGCCUGCCAGCUCUAAUUGGGCCCAGGAGCCCGGCCUCGCUCGGGGGUGGGGGGGGCAGUGCCCACCUGGCGGCCUCCCUGCCCCCCCACGAGGCCGCCUCCUGUCACCCGGGAGAGGGCCCAGGCCCGCGUCCUUGGGAGGGGGCCCCUCUGUGGGGGGAGGGCCCGGGCCUGCGUCCUUGGGAGGGGGCCCCUCUCUCUGGAAUCUCUCAGAUCGUGGGCACCCCCACAGCCCCCUCCCGGGAGCGGGCGGGAAGGAGCGCUGUUUCCUCCCUGCUCUUCCUUCUGGAAGGUUCUGGCCUUCCCUCGCUCACUGCAGCAGCACAAUCAUUGUGGGAGGGGGGUCUCCACACAGCGAAGCCCCCCGGCCUGCUGCCUUCAGGGCUUCCGGGGGGGGGGGUCUGCAGCGCGUUUCUUUCUACCUCAGGUCUGACUCGAUGCCAAACCCCCGCCCGGGCCCAGGGCGUCCGUGCGCACCGCCCUGCCCGGGCCCCUCCGCCUGGAGCCGUGCGCCCGCGGGGCCCCGUCGGGGGUGUCGCGUCCCGGCUGGAGCUCAGGGUGUCCUGCCGAGCGGCGAUGACUGUAGGGGCGGCCUCGGUGCCCCCCGCAGCCCCUGCGGCUCCGGCCCCGGGCGUAGGGAAGGGGCGGCCUCCAGGGGCCCAUCAGGACCCCCUCCUGCAAACUGGGGGACGGGGUCGGGGCGGUGGCUUGUGCGCUGUUCAUUCCCGGGCAGGUGGCGCUUUGCAGCACGGCGAGGGCGGGGACCCCAAACUCAGGGUGAAGAGGAGCCCCGGGGGCUCCCCUGCUGGCGACCUUGCUUCCAGAAUCUUCCGCGUGACCCCCUGAGCUGGGGGCUGGGCUGUCUGGGGCCGGGCGGCGGGUUAGUUUCCAUAGUUCUGCAUUUCUACACCACUUUCCCGCUUUUUUCACUUUUGCCCACUUUGUCCUCCCCCCUCCACCCCCCUUAAUUUUGCUUUUGCAUUUUUUUUUUUCCUUGGCAAACAUGAACUCAGCCUUUCAUUCCUGACAUGUGAAAUUUCAGUUUCUCUGGGGUUUGUCAGACGGCGUGGGUGCUGCGCCGGGACUCAGGUUAACGUGAAAAAAAACUUUUAAAAUAAAAGGUUUAAACGACUCUACCUCUGGCCGGGCCUGGCCUGUCGCGCCCUGGCCACGGCGGGGCAGCCUGUAUCGAUUUCAGUUUUUGCAGAACAUUCAGGUAUUAAAAGGGAAAAAACAAAAAAAACAACAAAAAAAAAAGACAAAAGACCUAAAAAAAGAAAACCAUAAAAAAAAGGAAGAAAAAAAAGGUGUGUGAUUUUGAAAUUUAAAAGAACACUGAAAGUUUACAUUUUAUAACAUUAUUAUGCAGAUUGUAUUUAAACUUCAGAAAUAUUUAAGACAAUUGUAACCCUGUAAAGCUGAUGAGAUAUUAAAACAAAACACUUC
rnacentral:lncRNA from 1 species